GUUGACAGGGGGCACCCUGACCGCCUGCCGCGUGGGUGAAGAAGGCCUUCGGGUUGUAAAGCCCUUUCGGCGGGGACGAAAUCGCGGGGGUGAGAAGCCUUCGUGGAUGACGGUACUCGCAGAAGAAGCACCGGCUAACUACGUGCCAGCAGCCGCGGUAAUACGUAGGGUGCGAGCGUUAAUCGGAAUUACUGGGCGUAAAGCGUGCGCAGGCGGCCCUUUAAGUCAGGUGUGAAAGCCCUGGGCUUAACCUAGGAAUGGCGCUUGAAACUGGGGGGCUAGAGUGCGGCAGAGGGGGGUGGAAUUCCUGGUGUAGCGGUGAGGUGCGUAGAGAUCAGGAGGAACACCGAUGGCGAAGGCAGCCCCCUGGGUCGACACUGACGCUCAGGCACGAAA
rnacentral:rRNA from 1 species